CUUUCAGCUUAUGUGUAUUUUAAUGCCAAAAAUACCCUUCACCUUGCCAGCUAAGCGUUCCACAUCUGAAAAUUCAGAAGAGAAAAAACCCUCCGAAAAGCCACAAAGCCAAUAUCUCUCUCAUAUACUGCUUUUCCCAUUCUCUCCCAUUCUCAAUCUCAGAAACCCAAAAUGCUGUAAAACCUAACCUCUUUCAUUUCUGUAACAUUCUCGUCUCCCAUUUUGUUGAUAAACAUCAACAGCCCAAAACCUAACGUUCCCAAAAAAAAAAGUUAUAAUGCUGCGGAGGAGAAGAAUUUAUCAGGUGGAUGUGUUGGUAAAUGAGAAACGAAUCAGAAGGAAGAGACACGGGACUACGGGAGGAAACCGGGAAAGGUGAUAUCCUUUUUGUUCCCAAAUUACUUGAUCCAGAAACCCUAAUUUCUGAAACGAAGAUCAGAUCAGGGGAAAAUUGGUGAUCGGAAUCAAUGGUGGGUGCAUCGAGCUCAUGGUCUCGCGCACUGGUUCAGAUCUCACCUUACACCUUCUCCGCCAUUGGCGUUUCCGUCUUGGGUGUCGCUUGGGAAUUUAUAUAACUGGAAGUAGUUUAAUUGGUGUUGCCAUCAAAGCUCUUCGGAUUACUUCAAAAAAUCUGAUCAGGAAAAUGGUUGAGGUCAAGUCAUUCAGAGAAAAAGGUGGAGCCUGAGGCAUCUUUUGAAAUUUUGACCAACCCAGCGUGGGUGGUUCCUUAAAUUUCUGGAAGAAAGCAGAUAUGUCCCAGGGGAAAAACUCAUAAAGAAAGAAAAAAAUGUGCAUUUGUGUUGAGCUAGUACAACAUGAAUAGAUUUUGUGACUCUUUUGUAUUAGUGAACUAUGUUUUGUUUUUCACUUACCUUACCACCCCCUUCCCCACAUUUCUCAGAUGUAAAAUAAUGUUCUCAAAUCUCUCCCUCAUUGUAACUGUGUAAAUAUGGAUCUAAUUGAAAUCGGUCUUGUUUGUUUCAAUCCAGUAGCUUGAUUUUUCUUCCUGUCUUUUAUGAUGGGUUAUGAUGUUGAAUGAUGCUUAUAUGAUAGAGUGUGAAGCAAA